rnacentral:lncRNA from 1 species
AGUCAAGUUUUCUAAUUAUUGGACAGAAGGGUCCUUGGAAGGAAGGCGAGCAAGCUUCAAAACUACAGGGCGUGCGUUAUCACGUAAGCUUUGAUGCUGGAGUUUGCUGCCUCACUUUUCACUUGAGUAGAAUUCCUUCUUACCCAAUCCAAGCCCAGCUUCAGAUUUCAUUUAUUCCAAGUCAGUUGUUCACCCUUUCUCUGCCCUGGAUAAAGGGCAUGGUGAUGCAAUUCCUCAGAUCCAACAAGCUCGGCUGUCUUUCCGCCAUCGACACAAUUUACUCUUUCUUGACAGUCGCCUAAUCGUAUCUUCACACAAGAAGAAAUCAAAGACAACUGCAUGCAUCUCGAAAAACCAUUCGAUGCUGCACCGAGCUGAUGUAUGCCAAAGUAGAGUUCAUUCAGUUUAUUUGGUUGGUGAAAGCAUUGUCUUCUUGUCUACAUUCCUAUGACUGAGACCAAACCACCCUACUUCUUGAAAUUCCCUUCUUGCUACAAGAGAGCGAGCUUACAGCAAGAUCCGAACUUCUAUUUACGACUGGCUUCCCUACCUUUGCCCUAACGUUUGCCCCUGCUAGUUGGCUUGAGAGAAAGUCAUGUUGGUUGGGUCGACUUGAACUCUACUCCCUCAUAGUGGACUUGAAGACCGGGUACACGUAGACCAAGAAGACCUCGCUUAAAACUUCACUAUGGCUUUCAAGCUUUCAACCCCUUCCCAGCAUAUAGUCGGCUAAGAUAGCCUGCCUUUCCGCAUUUUCACUAACGGAGUCAAAUCAUUCCGACUUGAACCUUGUUCCAUUACCUAACACACCCACUUCAUUACUGACUUUUUAUCUAAUGGGUGUACUUACGUUCCAAGCCCCUCUAAUAGAACAUAUAAUCAAGCCUAGCACUGAAUUGAAUACUUUCAAUCAAGCUUUCCGAAAGCUUCCGCGAAGAGGCUAAAGGGGCGUGUAAAUAAGCAUGCUUAGGAUGAGCAUUUCAUUAGCUUCCUUUCAAUCUGGCAUAGGAGGCAUACAAACAGGGGUAGACUUUCGGUUACUAUCUUCCUUUGAAAUUUCAUCUAAACCUUGACUUUAUAAAGCUUAUCACACUUGCUCAAAAGGUACUUACGAUCUCUAACUCGACUCUCGCUCGAAACAUACUUUGUUUGGGCAUAUUCUACUUUCAUUGAAGGAAAAAUAGAGUACCAGGCUUGAAUGAGAGAAAAUGGAUGACUAGCGAUGUAUCAUAUGUCAGUAGCAGUGAACAUGACGGCAAGGCCAGGUAGGCGAACAUGCUUUUUGCUUUUAUAGGUAUUUUAAGUCUUUGGUGUAGUACGGUUGAGUGAGUUCGCUUGAACUUUGCUAAUUGGCUUACAUUAUUAUGGCUGUAUACUUAAGAGUAUCUCUGUCUAUUUCAUUUUAUUAGAAUACUUAUUUGAGUAAGAUCUUAUAUCAUCUAUUCCAGGAUCGAUGGGAGCCCAAGCGGCAUUAAGAAUAGAUUAUAAAAUGAGAACUGGCUAACGAAGCCUAGCUCGUUUAGGUCCUUCCAUUCCUACCUAUCUAUCAUUGGUCAACUCACGAAUCAGCUAGACCCGACUUUCUCUUUCCAAGGAAUGGAUUCGCGAGCUUACUAAGUCGGAAGCCAACGCUAUAUCUCUUGCUAUGGCUCUUAGCUCAUUAUUGGGAUAUCGGGUCAGCACACUAAGAAAAAAUUGGACGGGCUUUGCAGCUAUGGGCAAGUCUAUCGGUCAGUAGGGGCAACAAUAGGAACCUAUAAGAAGAGGGAUCACAAAGACUACUACUAGUGCUACUAACCCUAGCAGCACUAGUAUACGGGGGAGACCCGCUACGAGGCGGAGGGUGGAUGUUAAUGUAGAGAAAUGCCAUACUUUCGCUCGGGGGGUAACCCCUCGCUACACUCAUCCAUCAGGGUAACCGCAUCCAAAAAAGGAAAGUAAGGAAUAAGAAUGGGAAGGGAAGAAGUCCGCUAGCAAUCCAUUAAGGAUUGUUAUAGCCUCAUAUAAUUUGAAUUUCUCUCGAAAAAGUAGAUCUGACAUGUUCUUCAAUUUGUUCAGGAUGUUUACCGGUGAUAAGCCCGUCUAUAAAAGGCCUUUUGGGUUGAGAGAAGAAGCUCUUAUCACUCAAGAGGAGCAGGAUCGCAUUAUUAGGAACUUCAAAGUGAGUGAAAUGAUAAGGCGACGCUUCAGAAAACAGUUAUUGUUUUUUAUGUUAGCAUUCCUUAUUAUAAUUAUAGACCCGAGCAUACCGUUGCAGCUCAUUUGUGUCAUAUUUACGGGGUGUGUGGUAGUUCACAAAUUUUGUGUACAACAACCUGAUGUUAUUCAU